ACGGAGGAUCCAAGCGUUAUCCGGAUUCAUUGGGUUUAAAGGGUGCGUAGGCGGAACGAUAAGUCAGUGGUGAAAGCCUGCAGCUUAACUGCAGAACUGCCAUUGAUACUGUCGAUCUUGAGUACAUUUGAUGUGGGCGGAAUGUGUCAUGUAGCGGUGAAAUGCUUAGAUAUGACACAGAACACCGAUUGCGAAGGCAGCUCACAAAACUGUAACUGACGCUGAGGCACGAAAGCGUGGGUAUCAAACAGGAUUAGAUACCCUGGUAGUCCACGCUGUAAACUAUGAUUACUCGAUGUUUGCGAUACACUGUAAGCGUCUAAGCGAAAGCGAUAAGUAAUCCACCUGGGGAGUACGCUCGCAAGAGUG
rnacentral:rRNA from 1 species